AAGUCGUAACAAGGUUUCCGUAGGUGAACCUGCGGAAGGAUCAUUAACUAUUUGUGGGGGAAUAGGCUUUAAAAACCUUUUUCACCAUUAAUUCAUCCAUAAUGUGGGUCAAACCACAUGCGCAAUGUUUUUUUUAAAGGGUUACUUUCGGGUACUCUUUAUUUAUUAUAAUAUGGUUCUUUUUGGGCUAUAUUAUUAAUUUUUUUAUACUAAAUUUACUGAAUAACGAUUGACCAUAAUUUAUGGUUGUUUAAAAAUAUAUUAAUUUAUAUAAAAACAACUUUCAGCAAUGGAUCUCUCGGCUUUC
rnacentral:misc_RNA from 1 species